rnacentral:rRNA from 1 species
AACGAACGCUGGCGGCAGGCCUAACACAUGCAAGUCGAACGCUCCGCAAGGGGAGUGGCGCACGGGUGAGUAACACGUGGGAACCUACCUUCUGGUACGGAACAACCAAGGGAAACUUUGGCUAAGACCGUAUACGACCUCCGGGUGAAAGAUUGAUCGCCGGAAGAGGGGCCCGCGUCCGAUUAGGUAGUUGGUGAGGUAACGGCUCACCAAGCCUUCGAUCGGUAGCUGGUCUGAGAGGAUGACCAGCCACACUGGGACUGAGACACGGCCCAGACUCCUACGGAGGCAGCAGUGGGGAAUAUUGGACAAUGGGCGCAAGCCUG